GUACACUCCUACGGGAGGCAGCAGUGAGGAAUAUUGGACAAUGGGUGGAAGCCUGAUCCAGCCAUCCCGCGUGCAGGAAGACGGCCCUAUGGGUUGUAAACUGCUUUUAUCUGGGGAUAAACCUACUUACGUGUAAGUAGCUGAAGGUACCAGAAGAAUAAGCACCGGCUAACUCCGUGCCAGCAGCCGCGGUAAUACGGAGGGUACAAGCGUUAUCCGGAUUUAUUGGGUUUAAAGGGUCCGUAGGCGGACUGAUAAGUCAGUGGUGAAAUCCGACAGCUUAACUGUCGAACUGCCAUUGAUACUGUUAGUCUUGAGUAAGGUUGAAGUGGCUGGAAUAAGUAGUGUAGCGGUGAAAUGCAUAGAUAUUACUUAGAACACCAAUUGCGAAGGCAGGUCACUAAGUCUUAACUGACGCUGAUGGACGAAAGCGUGGGGAGCGAACAGGAUUAGAAACCCGAGUAGUCCCAUGAU
rnacentral:rRNA from 1 species